rnacentral:tRNA from 1 species
GCGUCAGUGGCGGAAUGGCAGACGCGCUAGCCUUAGGAGCUAGUGUCCGCAAGGACGUAAGGGUUCGAAUCCCUUCUGGCGCA